rnacentral:rRNA from 1 species
GAUGAACGCUGGCGGCGUGCCUAAUACAUGCAAGUCGAGCGAACAGACGAGGAGCUUGCUCCUCUGACGUUAGCGGCGGACGGGUGAGUAACACGUGGAUAACCUACCUAUAAGACUGGGAUAACUUCGGGAAACCGGAGAUAAUACCGGAUAACAUGUUGAACCGCAUGGUUUAACAGUGAAAGACGGUCUUGCUGUCACUUAUAGAUGGAUCCGCGUCGCAUUAGCUAGUUGGUAAGGUAACGGCUUACCAAGGCAACGAUGCGUAGCCGACCUGAGAGGGUGAUCGGCCACACUGGAACUGAGACACGGUCCAGACUCCUACGGGAGGCAGCAGUGGGGAAUCUUCCGCAAUGGGCGCAAGCCUGACGGAGCAACGCCGCGUGAGUGAAGAAGGUCUUCGGAUCGUAAAGCUCUGUUAUUAGGGAAGAACAAAUGUGUAAGUAACUAUGCACGUCUUGACGGUACCUAAUCAGAAAGCCACGGCUAACUACGUG